CAAUAGAUACCCGGGUAGUCCACGCCGUAAACGAUGUAUGCUAGCUGUCGGGAGUCUUAGGCUCUCGGUGGCGGACCUAACGGAUUAAGCAUACCGCCUGGGGAGUACGGUCGCAAGAUUAAAACUCAAAGGAAUUGACGGGGACCCGCACAAGCGGUGGAGCAUGUUGUUUAAUUCGAAGCAACGCGAAGAACCUUACCUACGCUUGACAUACCAGUUUUGGAUUUCAGAGAUGAUUUCCUUCGGUUCGGCCGGGCUGGAUACAGGUGCUGCAUGGCUGUCGUCAGCUCGUGUCGUGAGAUGUUGGGUUAAGUCCCGCAACGAGCGCAACCCUUAUCGUCUGUUGCCAGCAUUAAGUUGGGCACUCUGACGAGACUGCCGGUGAUAAGCCGGAGGAAGGUGGGGACGACGUCAAGUCAUCAUGGCCCUUACGCGUAGGGCUACAAACGUGCUACAAUGGCUGUGACAGUGGGCAGCAAUACCGCAAGGUGGAGCAAAUCCCAAAAAGCAGUCUCAGUUCGGAUUGU
rnacentral:rRNA from 1 species